rnacentral:lncRNA from 1 species
ACAGCAAGUCUGGCUAGAGUUUCUCAAGGGUGUGCCCAUGGGGAUUAGUGGAAAGAGCUCUGUGCUUGGGUUGGGUGGUUUGCCCACUCCACCUUUUAUUCUCCUUGGGUAAGUGGCUUGGGACCUCAUUUGCCCUUUCCAAUGGGAUAGCAACAUGUUUCUUUUUGGAAGCUACUGUGAAAGAUGAUGAUCUGGGAGGGACUUGGGACACAGGCUUAUUUGUUACACAGAUGCCACCGGCCUUGCAUCUCUCUUGUGAGC